UGCUGGGCUUAAAAGACCAAUGGAUGCUGAGACUUUUUUGGCCAAUGUUCUUUUGGAUACUCACUCCCUAUGUAAAAGUUUUUUAAGUAUUGUAGUUGUUAAGGUAUCUAAAUGUGUUGUUAAGGUAGUCCAUGAUGUGGCUAAAACUACUUUGUAAUCCUUUUGGGGGGUUUAUAUAUUCUGAUCUCGAUUCCUCAAAAGAAACAAUGAGUGCCAUGAAGAAUAUUGUCAGCAAUGUUUGCAUUUGUAAGCUAGGUUUGAGUUUGAUGCAUCAUUAUAUGAACUGAGUCUUAUGCGAGUAUUGCCGAAGCAAGGUGCACAUGCCGAUCAAAAACAACUGUCAUAUGGUAGCGGAGCAACAGUAACAAAAGUAAAAACAAGAGUGAUACAAUGUGAGCAUACACGCUUAAACCCUUUCUCUCUUACCCAUAAAUGUUUUGGCAUUCUUUGGCAAAAUGCCCUCUCUCAACGAUAGGUGUAGCCACCACCCCCUCCACAACCACCACUGCUACCUAUGGCAACAUACCGGCCACCGCCUGAUCACCUUCAUUGCAGUCCCGAGACUUAUGUUCCAUUUCCCCAACUACUACUGCCACCUUGGUGAGUCUGUUUGGUGCAGUAAUAUCAACUGCUUCAGUACGGCCAUCAACAUCCUCUCCGAGGCCACUAUGCAAAUGCAUAAUCAUAAACCAAAAACAAAAAAGAUGAAGUCAUCUCACAUAUUAACACCUCAGGCACAGGAAAACAAAGAAAAUCAAAUCAAACUGCAAUAGAUUAAGCAUACAUCAAAUGGAGUUGUAUACUGACUGAUAUUGAAUCUUUAACCAAUUGAAAUUGUUGCAUAUAGUCCUAGUCAAUAGGGGCAUGAAAAUGUUGCUAUAUACAUGUGUGUGUGUGGUGAAGAUAGAGAGAAAAGAGGAGUGCUAUUGGAAAAAAGGGUAGUGCCAAAAUCACUUUCCUUUCCAUAGAUUUCAAUACACUUUGCUGGAUAUUUAUGCAUCUCUCACAUAUACCAAUUCACUUUUCUUUUUGUACAGAAAUCACAACAAAACUAUAAAUCAUCUGCAAGAAGAUAAAGCGCAAUCGUACAUAAAAAUGUGAGAUGGAAUCAGUAGACAACCAAAGUAGCAAAAAUCAGUCAUCUGUGGAAUCCCAUCUCUACGGUUGUCUGGCCGCUGCCUGAUUUUCCUAACAAUUCCACCACCAAACACAGUUUAAACAACUCUGUUUGCACUGAAAUCGAGGGUAAAUUAGACGUUCAAUGUAUGCACCGUUGUUUCAGAGAGAGAAACCAAAAUCAUAGAUUUUCCUCCCUCUACAAUCAACACAACAAAUGCUAGUGCUAAAAACAGAUUGCUAAUUUCGGUGAAUUGUGGGGCUCAUAUCAAGUGUAAUUUUUAUGAGAACUGUCAUCGUGGGCAAAACCAUAAUCAAAAGGGGAAGAGGGAGAAAAUGAAUGGAUUUUGUGAUUUCAGACGCCAAACCCUAAGGCGGCACCUAAUUCACUA